AGGCCGUGGGCGGCGGGCCGGUCGGACGCCAGCGGGUGGCGGCGGCGCGUUUCGGCGAAGCGCCGCUCCAGUUCCAUGUCGGAACAGUCGA
rnacentral:tRNA from 1 species